rnacentral:misc_RNA from 1 species
GAUGAAGAACGUAGCGAAAUGCGAUACGUAAUGUGAAUUGCAGAAUUCAGUGAAUCAUCGAGUCUUUGAACGCACAUUGCGCCCCCUGGUAUUCCGGGGGGCAUGCCUGUCCGAGCGUCAUUGCUGCCCUCAAGCACGGCUUGUGUGUUGGGCCUCCGUCCUCCUCCCGGGGGACGGGGCCGAAAGGCAGCGGCGGCACCGCGUCCGGUCCUCGAGCGUAUGGGGCUUCGUCACCCGCUCUUGUAGGCCCGGCCGGCGCUUGCCGACACAUCAAUCUUUUUUCCAGGUUGACCUCGGAUCAGGUAGGGAUACCCGCUGAACUUAAGCAUAUCAAUAAGCGGAGGA